UAUAGAGGGUGCGAGCGUUAAUCGGAAUUACUGGGCGUAAAGCGCGCGUAGGCGGCUUUGCAAGUCGGGUGUGAAAUCCCCCAGGCUUAACCUGGGAACUGCAUUCGAGACUGCAUUGCUAGAGUAUGGGAGAGGGAAGUGGAAUUUCCGGUGUAGCGGUGAAAUGCGUAGAUAUUGGGAGGAACACCAGUGGCGAAGGCGGCUCACUGGACCGGUACUGACGCUGAGGCGCGAAAGCGUGGGGAGCAAACAGG
rnacentral:rRNA from 1 species